UGUCGCUGGUCUGGGGGCCGAGGUGUGCUGGGGGCCAAGAGGAAAGAGCGAGAACGCUUCCUCUUAGCGUUUCAGCUGGGAAGUGACGUGUUGUGUGCUCUUGCUGGCAUCUCACCGAGCAAAGCAAGCCCCGGCCUUGGCCGGCCGUCAGGGGCCUGGGAACAGAGGACCCGGCAAGGGGACAGCAAGAGUCAGCGUCAGAAGCUGCAAAAGCCGGCUCUGUGCGAACACAUCUCUGAUGAUAACAGACCUAACGGGCUUGUCUGAGGACAAAAGGAGCCUCCCAACUGGCAAAAUUCGCCCUCACGGCGUCAUCCUUCGGGGGACCCCUGGACCUGCGGGAGCGGGACUCCGGCACUAUAGGAAAGGUGACCCCUUCGAGAGCUUAUGACAAGCAGCCCACUGCAGGAGAUGUUACAAAAAUAAAAGGUGAAAGGUCUCUUUCAUGUAUAUGCCCGCUUCUUUGGAGGAAAAGUGGAUCCUUCCUAAAAGGACUGUUAAAAAACAGAAUUCAACUGAGAAAUUAAAUUUAAAGAUGUUACUGGCUUUAUUCACGCCUCCACGAGUCCGUUGGCAGCCCAUCCAGCAGACAGAAAGGAGCUCCAGGAAGCUGCAGAGAAUGCCAGACCCCUGGGUGGAAGAGAGUGGGGAUGAGGAAAUUACGCUGGACACUCAAUCGAGUUGAGGAUUCGGAGGUCACUUCCAUUUAGAGGAUGGUGGAUUGUCUGACUAGUGCGGAUCAGGCGAUUCCUGAUGCAACGGUUUAAGAUUCUAUUUCUGGGAGCGUUGAAACUACUUACGUGUCAGUGUGGCCGAUGUGAGGCUUAAGUUUCAGUGUCGUGAUGUGGGACUUAGCAUAAGCCACUCCGUUUCAGGCAUGUCGUCUUUAACAAUUUGUUAUACAUUUCUUGGUUACUCCACCAAUAACUUGAUGUCCAGUAUGCUGUUGCUAUUUAAAAUGAUGUUUAAAAAGAGUUCUAGGGGUGC